rnacentral:rRNA from 1 species
UAAGCUUGGUUGGGUUUGUUGCUGGCUCUUCGGGGCAUGUGCACGCCUAACACCAACUUCUUACCACCUGUGCACCUUUUGUAGACCUGGAUACCUCUCGAGGAAACUCGGUUUUUGAGGACUGCUGUGCGCAAGCNAAGCUUUCCUUUCACUUCCGGUCUAUGUUUUUAUAUAUACCACAUUAUGUUUAAGAAUGUUAUCUUAGGGCUUCAAUUGCCCUCAAAACCUUAUACAACUUUCAACAACGGAUCUCUUGGCUCUCGCAUCGAUGAAGAACGCAGCGAAAUGCGAUAAGUAAUGUGAAUUGCAGAAUUCAGUGAAUCAUCGAAUCUUUGAACGCACCUUGCGCUCCUUGGUAUUCCGAGGAGCAUGCCUGUUUGAGUGUCAUSAAAUUAUCAACCUUUUAUCAGCUUGUCUGAUUUUAUUAGGCUUGGAUGUGGGAGUUUGCGGGCUUCUCAAGAAGUCGGCUCUCCUUAAAUAUAUUAGCGAGAGGACCCUUGUUGCCUAGCUUUGGUGUGAUAAUUAUCUACGCUAUUGCCUUUAUACAAUGGGUCACGGCUUCUAAUCGAGUCUUCUUCUCGGGGAGGACAAUUUCUGACCAAUUUGACCUCAAAUCAGGUAGGACUACCCGCUGAACUUAAGCAUAUCA